CAGUAGCCGCGGUAAUACGAAGGGGGCUAGCGUUGUUCGGAUUUACUGGGCGUAAAGGGCGCGUAGGCGGGCUGAUAAGUCGGGGGUGAAAUCCCAAGGCUCAACCUUGGAACUGCCUUUGAUACUGUUGGUCUUGAGUCCGGGAGAGGUGAGUGGAACUGCGAGUGUAGAGGUGAAAUUCGUAGAUAUUGGGAAGAACACCGGUGGCGAAGGCGGCGACCUGGUCCUUGACUGACGCUGAGGCGCGAAAGCGUGGGGAGCAAACAGGAUUAGAUACCCCUGUAGUCCCUGUCUCUUAUAC
rnacentral:rRNA from 1 species